AUUCCCUCAGUAACGGCGAGUGAAGCGGGACGAGCCCAGCGCCGAAUCCGGCCGCUUAUGGAGCGGACGGAAUUGUGGCGUAUGGAAUUCGCUUCGAGCGCGGACCGGCUGCCCACGUCCUUCUGAUCGAGGCUUCAUCCCAUAGCGGGUGUCAGGCCCUUGGCGGCGGCUGGCCCGGGCUCUCGGUGUCUUCCCGGAGUCGGGUUGUUUGGGAAUGCAGCCCAAAGCGGGUGGCAAACUCCAUCUAAGGCUAAAUACGGUCACGAGACCGAUAGCGAACAAGUACCGUGAGGGAAAGUUGAAAAGCACUUUGGAGAGAGAGUUAAAAAGUACGUGAAACCGUCGAGAGGCAAACGGGAGGGCCUGUCGGGUCGUUCGGUCGCUUUCAGGCGGGCCGGAGACCGGGUCGCGGGAUCGGGGACCUUCGCGGGCCUCGACUCGCGUCGCCGGCCGACGGCUCGGCGCACUAGCGUCGGACGAGGGCCGCGACCGGCUGGGCGGCGGGCAAACGGCCCCGGGCAAGGUAACCCCGCUUCGGCGGGGUGCUACAGGCCCGGUGCGCGCAAGGGUCGCCGCCCGGUCGAGGAGAGAUGCGCGCCGCACCUGCCCCGUUCGCGGGGCCGGGGAAGCCGUUCGAGCAGCGACGUGUCGCGGUCCGGGACUGUCCUCAGAGUAAAACCCCUCUGGGUUCUUCUAAACAAAAACACAAAUUACUGGGGGUAUAUAUUACACUUUGGCAAAUUUUUACCCUUGGAAUAGGUCUAAAAUUGAUGCGUUUCAACUUGUCAUUUUAUGCAAAGAUCAGCUUGUUUACGCAAACAAAGUGAAGAUUUGUUUCGACCCUUAAUUAAUGAUCUUAAAAUUUUGGAAAAAGAAGGCAUUGAUCUUCCAGGGUUUAGUGAAAAAGUUCGUGGUAGUAUUGUUUGUAAAACUGGAGAGAGACAAUCUAGGAAGUCAUUGGAUUGGUGGCUUUACAACAAACUUCAGCACCUCAUCCUACAUUUUGCAGGUUUUGUUCCAUUACCCGCACAGAAUUUAAUUGUUACUGUUUGUGUAAAAAACCCAUGCGCAACACUGGUUCCUAUAAUUGUUUCGUGCAAGAAGUUCAUGAUGCUGGUAACUCCGUGCACAUCCAAGGUGUGAAAAGUGACAGUAUUGUUAAUGAGUUGCAGUAUUUCCAUGUUUGUGCUCCAGGAUUGCCCCCCUUGUUUGGCG
rnacentral:ncRNA from 1 species